rnacentral:rRNA from 1 species
GAUGAACGCUAGCGGCAGGCUUAAUACAUGCAAGUCGAGGGGUAGCAAGAUUGUAGCAAUACAAUUGUUGACGACCGGCAAACGGGUGCGGAACACGUACACAACCUUCCUACAAGUGGGGAAUAGCCCAGAGAAAUUUGGAUUAAUACCCCGUAACAUAGCGAUGUGGCAUCACAUUGCUAUUAUAGCUUCGGCGCUUGUUGAUGGGUGUGCGGCUGAUUAGAUAGUUGGCGGGGUAACGGACCACCAAGUCUACGAUCAGUAGCUGAUGUGAGAGCAUGAUCCGCCACACGGGCACUGAGACACGGGCCCUACUCCUACGGGAGGCAGCAGUAAGGAAUAUUGGACAAUGGACGCAAGUCUGAUCCAGCCAUGCCGCGUGAAGGAUUAAGGUCCUCUGGAUUGUAAACUUCUUUUAUAAGGGACGAAAAAAGGUCUUUCUAGAUCGUCUGACGGUACCUUAUGAAUAAGCACCGGCUAACUCCGUGCCAGCCGCCGCCGUAAAAC